rnacentral:tRNA from 1 species
GCCAAGAUAGCUCAGUUGGUAGAGCACAUCCAUGGUAAGGAUGAGGUCCCGAGUUCGAUCCUCGGUCUUGGCUCCA